GGCCCCGUAGAUUAGUAGUUAGAUCACUGGCCUUUCAAGCCGGGGAAGACGGAGCAUAACCGUCCGGGGCUACCA
rnacentral:tRNA from 1 species